rnacentral:lncRNA from 1 species
AUGGGUGGGCUGGGUGCUGGAUGGGGCUGGCAGCUCCGGGAGGUUUGGGUGAUGGCGCAUGGGUGCGAGGGGGACAGAGAGAGGUGGCAGGAGGUGAAGCAGGAUCUGCUCCAGCAGGGGACCUGCCUGCUGGCACCCGGGCUUCAGGAAGCCCGUCCGGCCACAAACACUUGCCUGGGGCAGAAAAAUCCAGCGAGAGCCGCCCAGCCCUCAGCCCGGGGCUUUCCCCCUGCUCCCAGGUGGUGCGGGAUGGCCGGGCUGGGGGAGCGCUGCCUGAAGCGGGGCUCAGGAGCGGGGACGGAGGGCUGGGGGCCCUGGGUCUGCUCCUGGGGAGGACGGAGCAGAUGGAGGGGCGGUGGGAGCAGCGCCCUCGCUGCUUGGGGCGGCCGCAGAGGGGCUGGGUGGGACGGGAAGGUCGUGGCAGCCUCAGUUUCCCCCCUGGCAGGUGCUGGGGGCGAUGUCACAUCCCGCCUGCACUGGGAAUUUGGUGUGGCGAGGGACGCAAAGUGCAGCUGCCAGCUCCCAGCACCUCCCUUUCUCCCGCGUUUGUGCACGGACAGCACCCCGAGAGCCCCCACGGCCGGCAAGGAAGCGCCCGGUGCUUUUCCAAGCGGAGGAGUCUGGGGCCAGGGGGGAGAGAUGGAGACCCCGGAGGGGCUGGUGGCGGGGUUGGGGGGCUCUGCCGUGGGGCUGGGGGCUCUGCUCUGGGGCUGGGGGGCCAAGCACCCUGGGGAGCUGCGUCGUGGGGUGAACCCAGGGCAGCUGGCGUGCGGUGGAAGUCCUCGCUUCUGCUGCGAGCGUGGCGUGCCCAGCCUCGGCGAUGGGGGGACCGGGGGCUGCUCGAUGGCUUUGGGGUGCUGCCCCCCGCCCCUGGCCCACGCUCCCCCAAGCCGGGAGGCGGGGAGCAGAGGGUGGGGCCUCUUUUUGGGCAUCCCCCCCCUCACACACACGCACACACACACACACCCAGGCAGCUCCGGUUCUCCUCCCAGGCCAAAAUUAUUUGCAUGUUUUUUAGAGCAGGACUUCCUGAUUGCUCUCUAUUGGCUGCAGGUAGAAAGCUGUGCGGAGACGGAGACACGGACAGCCGGACAGAUCUCAUGCAAACCUCUAGCUGAGCCUCUUCCCCACUCUCCUCCUUCUCCUCCUCCUCCUCCUCCUCCUCUCAGCACGCCUGCGGCUGCCCGGCUCCCUUGGCUCGCGUCCUGCCCAGCACAUGUAAAAGUUGUGCGAGAGCCCGUGCCCGCGUCCCGCUCCCCUCUGCUGCUCGCAGGGAGCCGGCGAGGAGAAGGGGGCGAGAGCCGGGCUGGAAGAAGCCCCCCCUGGGCUGGAAGAAGCCCCCCCCGGGCUGGUUCCCUUGAGCCCCGCUUGCCCCAUGGUGGAUUUCUGCGAGGGAAGGUGACUUGGGGAAGAAGCGGCGCUGCGCCGGGUCGAAGGCAACCAUGA